rnacentral:rRNA from 1 species
AGAAUAAUUCACAAUGGGGGCAACCCUGAUGGUGCAACGCCGCGUGGCGGAUGACGGUCUUCGGAUUGUAAACUCCUGUCAUCGGGGAGUAAGACCUGGCCGUUAAUAGCGGACAGGGUUGCUAGUACCCGAAGAGGAAGGGACGGCUCACUUCGUGCCAGCAGCCGCGGUACUACGAAGGUCCCGAGCGUUGUUCGGAAUCACUGAGCGUAAAGGGCGCGUAGGCGGCGCGGUAAGUCAGAUGUGAAAUCCCGGGGCUCAACCCCGGAACUGCAUCCGAUACUGCCGUGCUAGAGGAUUGGAGAGGUAGCUGGAAUUCUUGGUGUAGCCGUGAAAUGCGUGGAGAUCAAGAGGAACACUCGUGGCGAAAGCGAGCUACUGGACAAUAUCUGACGCUGAGGCUCGAAGGCCAGGGUAGCGAAA